CGAGCAUGAUUUAAAGGGGGGAGGGUGUAACCCGGGUGUUUUUCCGCUCCCCUUGGCCUUGGUGCACUGUCUCUUUAAAUGGGGCGCCACACCACGGCUCGCGAGUGUUGUGGGUCUCGGGAGUGUCUGAGCUGCUGCAGAUGCCUCCUGCUGUAUGACGAUGUGCUGAGAAUGACUAUUAAGCGGAACUGGCCAGGUUCCAGUAUUGGAUGGCGAGCUAGAAGGCCCCGAGCCUGGACAUAUUGAGUGCGCCCGUCCGCCGGUGCGGUAGGAGGCGCUGCAGCCACUCCCCACACACACCCACUUGCACACACGCACACUAACAACCUCCGCUGGUGGAUUGUUUGAACUUUGCGAGUUUUGCACAGACUGAAACCCAGGUUCACCAAACUUGACGAUCUGAACUCUUUGUGCGCCUAAGUGGAUCUA